rnacentral:rRNA from 1 species
AUGAUGGACGGGGCUGGAGCGCUACUCCGGAGUCAUCAGAUGGAGCCGCCGCCGCCGUUCUUAGCAAUUUCGGUCACCGUGGCGACCUUGGCUGCUGGCGUAUUCGCCAUAUAUUUCUACGCACCUUCAUGGCGCGUACGUAGGGUCCCCGGUCCGAUGGCUUACCCGCUGAUCGGCCACCUGCCGUUGCUCGCCAAGCACGGCCCGGCGGUGUUCACGGUCCUCAGAGAGAGAUUCGGGCCCAUCUACAGGUUUCACAUGGGUAGACAGCCGCUAGUUAUGAUUGCAGACCCCGAGCUGUGCAGAGAGGUGGGAAUCCAGAAGUUCAAGAGCAUCCCCAACAGAAGCGUCCCUAGUCCUAUUCGCAGCUCGCCUAUUCACAACAAAGGCCUCUUCUUUACGAGGGACUCGAGAUGGCAAUCCAUGAGAAAUGUCAUCAUCUCCAUCUACCAGCCGUCGCACGUGGCAAGCCUCAUCCCUUCCUUCCAACCGUACAUUGAACGGGCGGGGCGCCUCCUCCGGCAUGGCGAGGAGAUCACCUUCUCCGACCUCUCGUUAAAGCUCUUCAGCGACACUAUUGGUCAGGUCGCCUUCGGUGUGGACUUCGGCCUCACCAAAGGCACCACCUCUCCACCACCGAAACACCAUGUCGAUUGUGCUGAGACUGUCGACAUGACAACAGAUUUCAUCAAAAAGCACUUCUACGCCACGACGUCCCUCAAGAUGGACCUCUCAGGCUCCGUGUCCAUCAUCCUUGGCAUGCUCGUGCCGUUGCUACAGGAACCUGUGAGGCAGCUCCUGCUGCGUGUGCCGGGCUCAAAAGACCGCCGGAUGGAAGAGACCAACUUGGCCAUGAGUGGGCUACUGGACAACAUUGUGGCUGAGCGGGCGGCACAAGCUGACAGGGGGGAGAAGAACUUCCUGUCUGUGAUGCUUAAUGCAAGCGAGAGCACAGACGCAAUGAGGAAGUUGUUGACGCAAGAUUACGUGAGCGCACUUACAUACGAGCACUUACUUGCAGGGUCGGUGACCAUGUCCUUCACGCUGUCAAGCCUGGUGUACCUUGUGGCGAUGUACCCCGAGGUAGAGGAGAAGCUACUCAAGGAGAUCGACGCUUUUGGGCCCAAAGAUGUGGUACCCAAUGUUGAGGACAUCCAGACCAAAUUCCCUUACAUGGAGCAGGUUUUGAAAGAGACGAUGAGAUUCUACACUGUGUCCCCGCUGAUUGCUAGGGAGGCAUCCGAGGAUGUCCAGAUUGGAGGCUAUGUCCUUCCUAAGGGUACUUGGGUGUGGCUAGCACCCGGCGUACUAGCAAAAGACCCAAAGCAGUUCCCAGACCCCGACGUGUUUUGGCCUGAGCGGUUUGACCCUGAGAGCGAGGAAUGCAAGCGAAGGCAUCCCUAUGCAUUCAUUCCCUUUGGUAUUGGACCCCGGGCAUGCAUUGGGCAGAAGUUCGCAUUCCAGCAGCUCAAGCUCGUCAUCCUCCACCUCUACCGCCACCACGUCUUCAGGCACUCGCCCAACAUGGAAUUCCCGCUGCAGUUCCAGUAUUCCAUCUUGGUCAACUUCAAGCAUGGUGUCAAGCUCCAGGUCAUCGAAAGGAAGACUUGA